rnacentral:rRNA from 1 species
UAGUCCACGCCGUAAACGAUGAAUACUCGGUGCUCCUGAUUUAUUGGGAGUGCCCUAGCAAACGCGUUAAGUAUUCCACCUGGGGAGUACGCUCGCAAGAAUGAAACUCAAAGGAAUUGACGGGGGCCCGCACAAGCGGUGGAGCAUGUGGUUUAAUUCGAUGAUACGCGAGGAACCUUACCAGGGCUUAAAUGCAGUAUGACAGAUUUGGAAACAGAUUUUUCUUCGGACAUAUUGCAAGGUGCUGCAUGGUUGUCGUCAGCUCGUGCCGUGAGGUGUCAGGUUAAGUCCUAUAACGAGCGCAACCCCUAUUGCUAGUUGCCAGCGGAUAAUGCCGGGGACUCUAGUGAGACUGCCGGUGCAAACCGUGAGGAAGGUGGGGAUGACGUCAAAUCAUCACGGCCCUUACGUCCUGGGCCACACACGUGCUACAAUGGUAGGGACAGAGAGCAGCCACUUCGCGAGAAGGAGCGAAUCUAUAAACCCUAUCACAGUUCGG